ACUAUUUCACGUGCCCUAGGGGUAAAAUCCGUAUAGAUGUGAAUGAACACCGGAGGCGAAGGCGCCAUGCCUGGAUGAUUAUUGACGCUGAGGCGCGAAAGCGUGGGGAGCAAACAGGAUUAGAUACCCUGGUAGUCCACGCCGUAAACGAUGAGCACUAGUUAUUGGAGGUAUUGACUCCUCCAGUGACGCAGCUAACGCAUUAAGUGCUCCGCCUGGGAAGUACGGUCGCAAGACUAAAACUCAAACAAAUUGACGGGGGCCCGCACAAGCGGUGGAUUAUGUGGUUUAAUUCGAAGCAACGCGCAGAACCUUACCUAGGCUUGAACUCCUACGAAUCCGGGGUAAUGCCUGGAGUGUCCGCAAGGAAAUGUAGUGAGAGGUGCUGCAUGGCUGUCGUCAGCUCGUGUUGUGAAAUGUUGGGUUAAGUCUCGCAACGAGCGCAACCCCUAUCGUCUGUUGCCAGCAUUAAGUUGGGCACUCUGACGAGACUGCCUGGGUUAACCAGGAGGAAGGUAGGGAUGACGUCAAGUCCUCAUGGCCCUUAUGUCUAGGGCUACACACGUAAUACAAUGGCGCGUACAGAGGGAAGCGAACUCGCGAGGGGGAGCAAAUCUCAAAAAGCGCGUCUCAGUCCGGAUUGGAGUCUGCAACUCGACUCCAUGAAGUUGGAAUCGCUAGUAAUCGGAGAUCAGCACGCUCCGGUGAAUACGUUCCUCUGGUCCUUUUACUUCUAUCGCUCUUUUUACUAUGGGAGUUGUUUUCAUUUUAAGACGUGACUAAU
rnacentral:rRNA from 1 species